rnacentral:lncRNA from 1 species
UGGUUGUAGAUGUGUGGUCUUAUAUCUGAGAUCUCUACUCUGUUCUAUUGGUCUAUGUGUCAAAACAGACCUUUUCUACACAGCAUCCUUGACAAAAAGGUCCAGCCUCCACUGCCACCGCCCCACCCCGCCCCCACAGUGACAGGAGCAAGCUCACUUCAUCCCUCAGCACCAUGUUCCUGAGGACUAGCUCUGAAGCUUCUGUCUUGUGUUGAGUUGAAAUAGUUCUCCCUAAAGCUCUCCUUGUGGGUCCAGUAUUGCCUUCUGAAGCCACACAGAAGCAUCCUGUUUCCCUUCCAUACAAUAGCCCUUUAGGUAUCUGUAGAUAAGCGGGCAACUCCUGGAGACUUCCCUGCUUCAGAAGAAAUACUUGCAGCGCCUUCUAUCAUUCCUUGCAUGAUAUAUGUGUCAGCAAGACCUGAGUUGCAAGCAGUAGAAACCCAUGCUAGCUGACUCAGGUAGAAAAGACAUUUCGUUAGAAGGAAAUGGGAGUGGUCACAGGAUUGGCAGAACAGUUGGAAAUCCAGCUGGAGAAAUAGACAGGAACAAGCCAGAAGCACACUGAAACCUAUCCAAAAGCAUCCCAGGAGGGCACACUGAGUGCCGCAUGGAGCCUGCACCACCAUGGGGAGGAAGCAGCCACCGCCUUCCUGAAUCCCCACCAGGCAGAAACAUCUCUCCCGUCUUUGAACUUCACCACGCCGUGCAUCUUCCUCUGGGUGUGCAAUCGUCACCUGCGUACAUGAUUGAUUCUGCCCCCAACACUAGACUCAGGCAGAAAGAACUCAAAGCUCAGAUGGUCAGGGUCCUGUUGGUUCAUCAAGCUCAGCCUGCCUGGAGGCAGCCACUGUGUUGUUCCCUCUCUUCGUCCUCCCUCUGCACUCUCUCUUGCCACGGGACAUUUGCACAAGCAGUUCCCUCUAACUGGAACACUAAGAAAUAUGGAAGUAAAAGGGGUUGGGAGAAAAGACAGGAGUCACAGGUGACUGUGUGGGAUGAGGAGAGUCGUGAAAACUUUUUUUUUUUUUUUUUGAGAUGGAGUCUCGCUUUGUCACCCAGGCUGGAGUGCCAGUGGUGCCAA